GAGGGGUUACGGUGAGUUCUUCCAGGCAAAGAGGAUUUUGUCUGGAAGUCCUCUUUGAGCAAAGACAUGGAGUCCACAUGAGCAAAGACAUGGAGGAGAAAAACGGCAUGGCACGAAGGGAACUGCAGGGAGGGAAAAGCAAAGAGAAGAUGCGAUGAAGCCACAGAGCAGGAAGAGGCCUCGGUUGCUGUCCUGACCAGUCCUCUCACUUCACCAUCAAGGCCAUGAAACCCAGAGAAGGGAUGUGACUUGAGAUCCAGCCAGACCCAGAUCCAGAGUUGGGAGGGCAGGGGUGCUGCAAUAUGAUCACAGAAUCGACACUCGACCCCUCCCAGCGACCUGGCAAAGUGGGCACUAACUCCAUUCUGCAGAGGUGGAAACUGAGGCCAGUGUGGGGAAUGGAAAUUGACUGGGCUAAGCUUAGAAGCCUGAACUCUGACCCCAAAGCUCUCUCUUGUACCUUUGACCCCCUUGUCUUGUCCUGCAGCUCUUAAGGUUACAGUGAGCCAGUUUUUCAUUUUGCCUUUCUCCAAUGGAGGCACCUUGGAAAAUAGAGAUCUGGCUGGAGCAACCUGGAACAUUUGAUGAUUGGGCUUAUUUAUAUUU
rnacentral:lncRNA from 10 species